rnacentral:rRNA from 1 species
AUGGCUCAGAUUGAACGCUGGCGGCAGGCCUAACACAUGCAAGUCGAGCGGCAGCGACAACAUUGAACCUUCGGGGGAUUUGUUGGGCGGCGAGCGGCGGACGGGUGAGUAGUGCUUGGGAAUAUGCCUUAUGGUGGGGGACAACAGUUGGAAACGACUGCUAAUACCGCAUGAUGUCUACGGACCAAAGUGGGGGACCUUCGGGCCUCACGCCAUAAGAUUAGCCCAAGUGGGAUUAGCUAGUUGGUGAGGUAAUGGCUCACCAAGGCGACGAUCCCUAGCUGGUUUGAGAGGAUGAUCAGCCACACUGGGACUGAGACACGGCCCAGACUCCUACGGGAGGCAGCAGUGGGGAAUAUUGCACAAUGGGCGCAAGCCUGAUGCAGCCAUGCCGCGUGUGUGAAGAAGGCCUUCGGGUUGUAAAGCACUUUCAGUAAGGAGGAAAGGUUAAGUGUUAAUAGCACUUAGCUGUGACGUUACUUACAGAAGAAGCACCGGCUAACUCCGUGCCAGCAGCCGCGGUAAUACGGAGGGUGCGAGCGUUAAUCGGAAUUACUGGGCGUAAAGCGUACGCAGGCGGUUUGUUAAGCGAGAUGUGAAAGCCCCGGGCUCAACCUGGGAACUGCAUUUCGAACUGGCAAACUAGAGUGUGGUAGAGGGUGGUAGAAUUUCAGGUGUAGCGGUGAAAUGCGUAGAGAUCUGAAGGAAUACCGAUGGCGAAGGCAGCCACCUGGGUCAACACUGACGCUCAUGU